AAAACAUCUGCCCGCAUAAAGCAUGAAGCGAUGAUGGAUUGAACACCCUUGGAGCCAAGGGUUUUGCAGGGUUUAACAGAACCAAUCACUCCAGCACUUUUAGCAUCAUACUAGGUUCCUUCCUUUCCUAAACACCACCAUGAGAAGAGUUUCAUCUUUUGCUUCUCCACAUCUCCAAAAGUAUACCAAAACUUCAUUUUCUCUCAUUUCUAAAGACUUCAUCUCUAGUACUAGCACUAACCCCAUCAAUGCAAAUGAACCAUUAUCCCCUCAAUCAUCAAAUACCCAUCUCAAAUCUUGCAAAAAGACUCAGUCUUUACUCUUUUCCAAUGUCAAAACCCAACAAUCUCAAACUUUCAACACACUUGUUGAGCAAAACCCACCUCAAUUAUCAUCAAGACAAAGAAAGAUUAAAGAAAGAUCACAACUUGAAGAGGCUUUUGAGUCAGCAAAGAGUAUUCAAGAAAUGCUUCAUGUUUUUCAAGAAAUGGAGGCAAGUUUUGAUGAGAGGGAACUUGGUUUGGCAUGUUUGAGAAUUGGUCUUAAACUUGACCAAGCAGGUGAGGAUCCUGAAAAGGCUUUAUCUUUCGCUAAUAGAGCUUUGAAAAUAUUGGAUAGUAAUGAUAAAUUGUCUUUACCUCUUGCUAUGACUUUGCAAUUGUUGGGUUCAACUUGUUAUAGUUUGAAAAGAUUUAAUGACAGUUUAGGAUAUCUUAAUCGAGCUAAUAGGGUUCUUGGUCAAUUAGAAAAGGAUGGUUCUUGUAGUGUUGAGGAUAUUAGGCCUAUUCUUCAUGCUGUUCAGCUUGAAUUGUGUAAUACGAAAACGGCCAUGGGGAGAAGAGAAGAGGCCCUUGCUAAUCUUAGAAAGUCUUUGGAGUUGAAAGAGAUGACUCUUGAAAGAGACAGUAAAGAACUUGGAAAUGCUAAUAGGGAUGUAGCCGAGGCGUAUGUCGCGAUAUUACAUUUUAAAGAAGCUCUACCGUUUUGUUUGAAGGCAUUGGAUAUACACAAGGCACAACUUGGGCAAAACUCUGUAGAGGUUGCACAUGAUAGGAGGCUUCUUGGAGUUAUUUAUACUGGAUUAGAAGAACAUGAGAAGGCAUUGGAACAAAAUCAAUUAUCACAGAGAGUUUUGAAGAAUUGGGGUCUUGAUACUGAUUUGCUUCGUGCUGAGAUCGAUGCAGCCAACAUGCAGAUAGCCUUGGGGAGAUAUGAUGAGGCCAUUAAUACUUUGAGUAGUGUUGUUCAACAGACUGGAAAAGAGAGUGAGGAUAGAGCUAUGGUGUUUAUCUCAAUGGCAAAAGCGUUAUGCAACCAGGAGAAGUCCACGGAUGCAGAGAAGUGCCUUGAAAUUGCAUGUUCAAUCCUUGGAAAGAAAGAAAAAAUUUCCCCUGUUGAGGUUUCCGAGGCAUACAUGGAAAUUUCUAUGUUGUAUGAGACAAUGGAUAAGUUUGAAGCUGCUAUAUCGCUAUUAAAGAGAACACUGUCAUUGCUUGAAAAGCUACCUCAGGAACAACAUUCAGUUGGAAGCGUUUCAGCAAGAGUUGGCUGGUUACUGCUCUUAACUGGUGGGGUCCAGCAUGCUAUUCCUUUCUUGGAGGAUGCAGCUGAAAGGCUGAAAGAAAGCUUUGGAUCAAAACAUUAUGCAGUUGGUUAUGUUUACAAUAAUUUGGGUGCUGCAUAUUUGGAAUUAGAUAGACCACAAUCUGCUGCCCAGGUUUUUGCAUAUGCCAGGGAUAUCAUGGAUGUUUCUCUUGGUCCUCAUCAUACAGAUUCAAUUGAAGCAUGCCAAAACCUUUCAAAAGCAUAUGCUGCCAUGGGGAGCUAUCACCUUGCAAUAAACUUCCAGGAGAAAGCAGUUGAGGCUUGGGAAGGACAUGGUCCAAGUGCAGUAGACGAACUUAAAGAAGCUCAUCGACUUCUUGAGCAACUGAAGAAGAAAGCUUCCGGUGUAUCCGAUGGGAAUGUGAUGAAGGCCUUGCCUUUGGCUAAUUCUAGGGAAGCUGGCUUUAGUAGUACCUCACAAGUUGGUGUUUCAGCCAUUGAGAGGCAAAGAAAUGCAACUAAAAUGCUGAAUCAAUAAAGUUAUGUUACUGCUCUCCAGCAACUGAUUGCAUCCUUCACUUUGCUGGUAUCAUCCAUCUAACUCCCAACAGCCUUCUAAGCAUUCUCCAUAGAUGAGCAAUAGGUACAGAGAAGAAAUAGGUGUUCCGAGUCUUCUUCUGCACUAUUACACAGCUAUCACCUUGCAAUAAACUUCCAGGACAAAGCAAUUGAGGCUUGGGAAGGUCAUGGUCCAAGUGCAGUAGACGAACUUAAAGAAGCUCCUCGACUUCUUGAACAACUGAAGAAGAAAGCUUCUGGCAUAUCCGAUGGGACUAUGAUGAAGGCCUUGCCUUUGGCUAAUGCUAGUGAAGCUAGCUUUAGUAGGACCUAACAAGUUGGUGUUUCAGCCAUUGAGAGGCAAAGAAAUGCAACUAAAAUGCUGAAUCAAUAAAGUUCUGCAUAAUGUUAUUAAUGUGCUCUUUGCCUUUUAGGAAUAAUACCUUUAAUUAGUUUGAUGUAUCCUUUCUUAUAAACCUAUUCUUAUUAGCUUCACUAAAGAUAUUAAAGCUACAAAGAUCAAUCAGUCUGCAA